ACCAGGAUGGCCGAGUGGUAGUGGUUAAGGCGUUGGACUUAAGAUCCAAUGGGCAAUAGCCUUCGUGGGUUCAAUCCCCACUCCUGGUA